UUGAAGAAACCAAAAAGCAAAUCCGAAUCUCCGAGAGCUCCGAUCAUAGUCUCUUAUUUUCCCGCUGGUUCGAACCUCUCCCGACUACCAGAUUAAUGUUUAUAUACAUGUGUUUGUAUAAAAAUGUUGAGCUCCAUACGCUAAAAGAAAUGCUGAAAGAGUAUUAUUACCACUAUAAUUUAUCUUCUCUGCUCUAGACGUUUCCAACAUUUUUGGAAUUCACUGAUGGCACAACACACUCUUAAAGCAUAAACCACCACGAGAGAAGUCCAGAAAAAUUUGGGCUUUAAUAAAGUCUUGUUUGGUUCGUAGCCGCAAAUAAUAAAAGCCCAUCAAGACAAGAAGACAGAAGAAGACAAGUGGUUUAAAGUGGAAGUUAUCUUUCCCACGUGGUCUUUAAAAAAAAAAAAAGAGAGAAGAAGAUGAGAUGAUGAGAGUAAGCAAAGUGUUGUGAAGACUUUUUAGAAAAGUAUAGAAAAAAAAAGAAAAAAAAAAAA